UUUUUAAAAACCAAAAAAAAACAUUUACCCAUCAUCUCUCUUAUUUUCCUUAAAGAAAAACAGAGAGAAAGCUCUCAAAUUUUCUCUUAGGCCUGCGCCACCCUCAUCGGAGGUCCGGUGAGCCAAGGUCGCGAGUUCGUCGGUGAUGGAAAUCAACAGGUGGGUGCACAUGGAGGAGUUGGUGGGAGUGUCAGACGCGUGGGGCGUGGUGGCCAAGGCUGAGGGGCAUGGUGGCCGACAUGGUGGCAUGGAGAGCUGGGGUGCCAAGGGUUUGCUGUUGAAAAACCUUAAGCAAGUGGGCUGUUAUUUGGGCUAGGGUUUGAUGUAAAUUGGGCUGUUUAAUAUUGUAAAUGGGCUAAUUAUUUUGGA